rnacentral:rRNA from 1 species
UACAUGGGGUGCAAACGUUGCUCGGAUUCAUUGGGCGUAAAGGGUGCGUAGGUGGCGCCGUAAGUCGGGUGUGAAAUUUCGGAGCUUAACUCCGAAACUGCAUUCGAUACUGCGGUGCUUGAGGACUGGAGAGGAGACUGGAAUUCAUGGUGUAGCAGUGAAAUGCGUAGAGAUCAUGAGGAAGACCAGUGGCGAAGGCGGGUCUCUGGACAGUUCCUGACACUGAGGCACGAAGGCCAGGGGAGCAAACGGG